ACAAACACAAUUCAUAAAUCUCCAAAAUCCUCGUCAAAAUGAUCCAGAGAAGAUCUUGUUGGUUCUGGGCAUACUAAAAAAUCAUUCCCCGCGUCACGACCACCCUUUUCCCUUUAUUCAUAAUCACAAUACGUCCCUCUCUUUCUCUUCGAUGGACAACGACUGACAAGACUGAUGUGGGUAUGGCUUGUGAUGAGGAAGUUUGAGGGAAAUUCAGCUGCUGCUUGAUCCACGGACCACAGUCGAGCGGAGUCGUUUCCAUAGAGGCACAGAGUGAGUAGAUGGAAAAAGAUCGAAGAGAAGGAAGAAGACUUGACGAUGGAUUUGGGGCUCAAACUUUGCAGCUGUUGUGUGAAUUCGGGGUUCAAAUUCCAUGGAUUUGAAGGUCAUACUCGCAGGGUUUUUCUUUGAAGGAAGAAGGCAUGACGAUUUGAGUUAAAUACCCUUCUCUCAUAUGUUUAGAUGGACACCACAUAGCCAAUAUUUCUUCCAAGCCAACAGAUUCUGUUAAUUUUUACGAAAUGGAUAGAAUUCGACCAACAACAAGAACAACAAAACCUUUUUUCACUAAGUGGUUACAAAAUCCAACCAAAAUGAAAAAAAAAAAAAAAAAAAAAAAAAAAAAAAGAAGGAGCUACAAAAUGCAGAGUGAUUAUAUUUUUGUUUCAAAGAAGAAAGUGAAUUUAAAUUCGAAUUUCAGGUAGGGUAUGAAAAAAGCCUUAAUUAUGUUUAGGAUCUUCAUUCUCGUAAGUCGUAAUGAUAUUCAAAAGCGUGCAAGAAAUCUAUUUCAUAUCCAAAUUUUCUCCAAACAAAUAAAUAUCCUCAGUAAACAAAUAUAACGGACAAAAUUAUCAUCUUGAGGCUUGUUAUAUAAUUAGUAUAUAUGUGUUAGAGGAAGUAUUUGUUGAUAUUAUUAUCUAAAACAUUAAGUAUAAAUUCAUCAUCUUGCUACAUCAUCUUGCUAUAUUAUUACACAUCAACUGCCGACCUCAAUUGUCUGUAACUGGCUCUUCCUUAUCAAUUAAAUAUAUCCUAUCGUUGCUAUAUUUAAAAAAAAAAAAAAAAAAAAAACAAAA